CAGUAGCCGCGGUAAUACGAACCGUGCGAACGUUAUUCGGAAUUACUGGGCUUAAAGCGCGUGUAGGCGGGCCGCCACGUCGGUUGCUGAAAUCCCCCGGCUCAACCGGGGAAGUGGCAUCGAUACGAGCGGCCUUGAGGGGGGUAGGGGGGUCUGGAACUUCCGGCGGAGCGGUGAAAUGCGUUGAGAUCGGAAGGAACGCCCGUGGCGAAAGCGAGGUCCUGGACCCUUUCUGACGCUGAGACGCGAAAGCCAGGGGAGCGAACGGGAUUAGAUACCCCCGUAGUCCCUGUCUCUUAUA
rnacentral:rRNA from 1 species